GAGGGGGCGGAGGGACCGCGGAGGAGGAGCCUGGGGGACCCCUGGGCAGCCCGGUCGGCUCAGAUGGGUAACUGAUAACCAGAGGGAAGUGGCUUGCCCAAGAUCCCUUGGCAAGGUUUGGCAAAGCCUGGUUCUAGAAACGAAGCCUCAGACCUCUUGUCAUCUGUUCCUUGACAGCACCUCUUUCUUCAGACCCAGGACAACUCUCUACCGUAGGUACUACUGAUAUUCCUACAGAGGAGGCAACUGAGACUGAAGGUGGUGAUGGAAGCAUGUUCAUGAAGCUGCUAGGUUGGAGACAAAGCUUGAAUUCACAACUGAAGUAUGAGGAACUUCAGAGCCACUGAAACCAUAAAGUAGGCUUCAUGCCCAGUGGAAAACCCAAUGUGGAG